UACGUAGGGUGCAAGCGUUGUCCGGAAUUAUUGGGCGUAAAGAGCUCGUAGGCGGUUUGUCGCGUCUGCUGUGAAAUCUCGGAGCUUAACUCCGAAACUGCAUUCGAUACUGCCGUGCUUGAGGACUGGAGAGGAGACUGGAAUUUACGGUGUAGCGGUGAAAUGCGUAGAUAUCGAGAGGAACAUCUGCGGCGAAGGCGGGUUGCUGGGCCGACACUGACGCUGAGGCGCGAAAGCCAGGGGAGCGAACGGG
rnacentral:rRNA from 1 species